AUUGAACGCUGGCGGUAUGCUUAACACAUGCAAGUCGAACGAUGAGAAAGAGCCUGCUCUUUCGAUUAGUGGCGGACGGGUGCGUAACGCGUAGGAAUCUACCUAUUAGUGGGGGACAACUUAGGGAAACUUAAGCUAAUACCGCAUACGCCCUACGGGGGAAAGAAGGGGAUCGCAAGACCUUUUGCUAAUAGAUAAGCCUGCGUAGGAUUAGCUAGUUGGUGGGGUAAAAGCUCACCAAGGCGACGAUCCUUAACUGGUUUGAGAGAAUGAUCAGUCACACUGGAACUGAGACACGGUCCAGACUCCUACGGGAGGCAGCAGUGGGGAAUAUUGGACAAUGGGCGAAAGCCUGAUCCAGCAAUACCGCGUGUGUGAAGAAGGCCUUAGGGUUGUAAAGCACUUUCAAUUGGAAGGAAAACCUCGAAGCUAAUACCUUCGAGUUUGACAUUACCUUUAGAAGAAGCACCGGCUAACUCCGUGCCAGCCGCCGCGGUAA
rnacentral:rRNA from 1 species